rnacentral:lncRNA from 1 species
CUGUCAUCUAAGUUUCUGCAAUAUGUUUCUGUCUCUCUGCUUGUUAUUUCCAUUAUUUCAGUUAUUUCCGUUAUUUUUGUUAUUUUCGUUAUUUCCGUUAUUUCCUUUAUUUUUCUUGGGUGUAAUCUAAAUUUCUGCAGUAUGUUUCUGUCUCUCUGGUGGUUAGUUCCGUUAGUUCCGUCACUUCCGUUGUUUAUUUCCAUUAGUUCCGUAAUUUAUUUUUGUUAGUUCCGUUAUUUAUUUCCGUUAGUUCCGUUAUUUAUUUCUGUCAGGUCCGUUAUUUAUUUCCGUUAGUUCAGUUACUUAGUACCCUUAUUUAGUUCGGUUAUUAAGUUCCGUUAUUUUGUUCCGUUAUUUAGUUCCGUUAUUUAGUUAUUUCCGUUUUUUCCAUUGUUCUUUCCUUGUCAUCUAAGUUUCUGAAGUAUGUUUCUGUCUGUCUGGAUGUUAUUUCCGUUAUUUCCGUUAUUUCUGCUAUUUCUGUUUUUUCCGUUGUUCUUCCUGGCCUGUCAUCUAAGUUUCAGAUGUAUGUUUCUGUCUCCCUGGACUUUGUUUCCGUUAUUAUUUCUGUUAUUUUGGUUAUUAAUUCAGUUAUUUCUGUAAUUAUUUUUGUUAUUUCCGUUGUUCUUCUUGGCCUCUCGUGUAAGUUCCAGAUGUAUGAUUCUUUCUCUCGGGAGUUUGUUUCCGUUAUUAUUUCCGUAAUUUCCAUUAUUAAUUUUGUUAUUUUUGUAAUUAUUUUUAUUAUUUCCGUUGUUCUUCUUGGCCUGUCGUCUAAGUUUCUGCUGUAUAUUUCUGUCUCUCUGGUGUUUGUUUCCGUUGUUUCCGUUGUUUCCUUGGUGUUCGUUAUUUCCGCUGUUCUUCUUGGCCUGUCAUCUAACUUUCUGCUGUAUGUUUCUGUAUAUCUGGAGGUUAUUUCCGUUAUUUCCAUUAUUUCCGUUAUUUCAGUUAUUUCCUUUAUUCUUCUUGGCCUGUCAUCUAAGUUUCUGCUGUAUGUUUCUGUAUAUCUGGAGGUUAUUUCCGUUAUUUCCAUUAUUUCCGUUAUUUCAGUUAUUUCCUUUAUUCUUCUUGGCCUGUCAUCUAAGUUUCUGCUGUAUAUUUCUGUCUCUCUGGAGGUUUUUUCCAUUAUUUUCGUUAUUUUGGUUAUUUCUGUAUUUUCGUUAUUUCCGUAAUUAUUUCCGUUAUUUCCGUUGUUCUUCUUGGCCUGUCAUCUAAGUUUCUGCUGUAAGUUUCUGUCUUGCUGGUUAUUAGUUCCUUUUGUUCCGUUAGAUCCGUUAUUUAUUUCCGUUAGUUCUGGAAUUUAUUUCCGUUAGUUCCGUUAUUUAUUUCCAUUACUUUCGUCUUUUAGUUCCCUUAUUUAGUUCCGUUAUUUAAUUCCGUUUUUUCCGUUGUUCUUGGACUGUCAUCUAAGUUUCUGAAGUAUGUUUCUUUCUCUCUGGAGUUUAUUUCCUUUCUUUCCCUUAUAAUUUCCCUUAUUAUUUCCCUUAUUAUUUCCCUUAUUUCCCGUAUUUUUUCCCUUAUUUCACUUAUUCUGUUAUUUCCCUCAUUUCCCUUUUUUCCGUUAUUUCCCUUAUUUCCGUUAUUUACCUUAUUUUCUUUAUUUCCCUUAUUUCUGUUGUUUCUGCUAUUUCUGUUUUUUCCAUUGUUCUUCUUGGCCUGUCAUCUAAGUUUCAGAUGUAUGUUUCUGUCUCUCUGGAGUUUGUUUCCGUUAUUAUUUCCAUUAUUAAUUCAGUAAUUUCCGUAAUUUACUUUAGUUAUUCCCGUUAUUUAUUUCCGUUUUUUCCAUUAUUUAUUUAUGUUAUUUCAGUUAUUUAUUUCCGUUAUUUCUGUAGUUCUUCUUGGCCUGUCAUCUCAGUUUCUGCAGUCUGUUUCUGUCUCUCUGGAGGUUAUUUCCGUUAUUUCCAUUAUUUCCGUUAUUUCUGUUAUUUCCGUUGUUCUUCUUGGCCUGUCAUCUAUUUUUCUGCAGUCUGUUUCUGUCUCUCUGGAGGUUAUUUCCGUUAUUUCCGUUAUUUCCGUUAUUACCGUUCUUUCCAUUAUUUCCCUUGUUCUUCUUGGCCUGUCAUCAAAGGUUCUGCAGUAUGUUUCUGUCUCUCUGGUGGUUAGUUUCGUUAGUUCCGUUCUUUCCGUUAUUUCCUUUAUUCUUCUUGGCCUGUCAUCUAAGUUUCUGCCGUAUGUUUCUGUCCCCUGGUGGUUAGUUUCAUUAGUUCUGUUAGUUCCUUUAUUUAUUUUCAUUAUUUCCAGAAUUUGUUUCUGUUAGUUCCAUUAUUUAUUUCCCUUAGUUCCUUUAUUUAUUUCGGUUGGUUCCGUAAUUUCAUUCUGUUAGUUCCGUUAUUUAUUUCCCUUAGUUCCUUUAUUUAUUUCGGUUGGUUCCGUAAUUUCAUUCUGUUAGUUUCGUCAUUUAUUUCCGUUACUUCCGUUAUUUAGUUCCAUUAUUUAGUUCCAUUAUUUCCAUUGUUCUUCUUGGCCUGUCAUCUAAAUUUCUGCAGUCUGUUUCUGUCUCUCUGGAGGUUAGUUCCGUUAGUUCCGUUAUUUAUUUCUGUUAUUUCCGUUAUUUAUUUC